UACAGAGGUCCCAAGCGUUGUUCGGAUUCACUGGGCGUAAAGCGCACGUAGGCGGAUCUUUAAGUCAGGGGUGAAAUCCCAAGGCUCAACCUUGGAACUGCCUUUGAUACUGGGGAUCUCGAGUCCGGAAGAGGUUGGUGGAACUGCGAGUGUAGAGGUGAAAUUCGUAGAUAUUCGCAAGAACACCAGUGGCGAAGGCGGCCAACUGGUCCGGUACUGGACGCUG
rnacentral:rRNA from 1 species